rnacentral:rRNA from 1 species
GUCUACGGCCAUGCCACCCUGAACAAGCCCAAUGUCUGAUCUCGGAAGCUAAGCAGGCCUGGUUAGUACUUGGAUAGGAGACCGUCUAGGAAGAUUAGGUGCUAUAGGCA